UUUUAUGGUUUGAGGUUUCACAUUUUUAACUGAGGUGUUACCAGCUUAAGAAGUGAGAUAUUUUAGAUGCUUCACUACCUGACAUUUCCAUAUCAAUCCAAAUUCUUAUACUUGUUUAUCAUUUCUGUGGACUUCAUUCUUCAACAGUGCUGCAUGUUUCAUAAGCAAGGACCAAAGAGACUUUGACCACAGGUGGUGAACAAGUAUACAAGAGGAUCAUAGAUACCUUCCUGCAGUGGUUCCAUCCACAGCAUCGCCAAAUUGAUGUUGUUAUUUCCCUAUUUUUGAAGCUCAUUGCAUCAUUGUAUCUCAAAGGGCACAAGUUAUAAAUAUAAAUAUAGAUACAAAUGUAAAUAUAUAGAUAUAAAUAUAAAUAUAAAUAUAUAAAUAUAAAUAUAAAUAUAAAUAUAAACAUAAAUCUCCCCAGGAAUAGAAGUGGUCUGCUUUUUGGCAAGUAAUGGUCAAGAAUGUUAAGUACUUCUUUGUUCUCUGACUAUAUCUUGAGCUUUUCUCUAUUGUUAUUUACUUCAUUGAUUUUUUUUUUUUCUCUAUGUUUUACUUUACAAGUGGGAAUGAGAUUUGCAUGUGGUAAAUGUAAUUAAUGCAACCCCAUGGACACCUUGGUCAUACCAAAGAUUAUAACCAGGCUAUCUCACAAACUGAGUACCUCCUAUGUGCCAGUUUGGAUACCAUUUGUAAAAUGCGUUGUUACGUCAUUUGAAUCAUGAACCCUCAGUUGUUAGAGUGGUUGGUCCAAAACAAUAGCCUCUUAAAACAUUUGUGUUACAUGCAAAUAGAUAUUCUGUAGUUUUAGUUUUUAUUCAACCUAGUAGAUCUCACUCUAGAACACGAUCAGAGCCUGACCAUAGUUGACCUCUUCCUUAGUACCCAAAUUUAAGACUUGGAUGCUGUCACAACUCUGGUUGUUUAAGGUAGAACCAGACUCUUUAACUGACAUUUUUAGCCUUGGCAAUGCCAUCCUGUAGAACACAUGGUUCUAUGAUUUUAUUGGUAUCACUGGAAUUUUGAAAUUGGAGUAAAGAACUCAAGGCAACCAAGAUAUUUCACUUUUAUUCGCAUUAUCCUGACUUUUAUUUGUUUUCUGUUUAAUCUAAAUAGGCUUAAUACAGAUGGCUGUGUUUAUUGGAAGUUUUAAUUGACUACUUCUAAAAUAUAAACUGUAUUGUAAUCAGGGAACUACUAUCUGCAUUGCCCAACUUGUCUUAGUAGACAGGUUUGACACAUGGCACACUGAAAUAGGGCCAAUAAUAGGAUUAUUAAACAGUUUAAAGCAAAAUUUGGUCAUUCAUCCUUCAUCUUUCAUUCCUACUUCCUAGGUGUAACAAGCAUUAAUCAGUUAUGCUACAGUUAAUAUUUCUAAGCUCAUACAGUUUAUGCACAAUUUAUUUUACAAAUAAGACAUUAUGGUUUUUGCAGCUAUAUUUUUUUAUUAAAUAUACUCUGGAUGUAUUUCUAACCCAAUAAAUGUAGUUUCUCUACA